AGCUACACCACAAUGUUUACCUGACUCCAGCCUUCACCGUUUCCCAGUAUUGGCCUCUCCUCUGGCCGGUUCUGUGUGCCCGCCGACUUCCUGGAGUGCAGCUAGUCGCUGAACAUGGGCCUUAUAACUGACCACAUCUGAGCGGUAGGUCACGUUAACCGUUUUUAAACUAAUAUGUAGCUUGCAUGGGUUUUAAUUGUACAUUCUUUGUGUAGCAGAUCUCGGGCGUAACAUCUGAGCGGCAACAUCAAGGCAUCUUGGUUCCAGUUCGAACGCUGCUGUUUUGUUUUGUUCUGUUUUGGUGUUUGUUUCAUUCCGUUUGUGAGUCGGCUGUGUUUAGCCGCGACGAAGUUGAUUAAUUGAAGUGACAACAGGUGUGUUGCUGGUUGCUUACCGAGUGACUACGAAUUCAGUUCGGUUGUGGAGGCUAUCCUUAGCUUGUUGCACUGCGUGUCAUAAUUGUCACCAUAAGCCUGCUUGAAGUGAUUGUGAUUUACACUGUUUGCUGUGACAACUGAGUGCUGUGCAUUGACGUCCUAUUUAUUCACGAGUGUCUCAUUCCCUGAAUAGUCACCUCUACUGACUUAAGCGAACUCACUCUGGAGAGUAGCCUACUACUGCUGUUAGCGAACCCACACUGGAGAGUAUUACAUGACUUGAGCGAACCCACACUGGAGAGAACUCACUCACUCUGUUUUUAAUGUGAAUAAAUAAGAGUUUAUUUUUGGA